AAUGAACGCUGGCGGCAUGCCUAAUACAUGCAAGUCGAGCGAACACAUGGUGAGCUUGCUCCUCUGCCGUUAGCGGCGGACGGGUGGGUAACACGUGGAUAACCUACCUCUAUUUCUGGGAUAACUACGUAAAACAGGUUCUACUAACACCUAAUAUAUUCAACCGCAUGGUUCAAUAGAUCAACACACCUUUCCUGUCACUUUUAGCUGAUGUCGCGCCGCAUUAUCUAGUUGGUAAGGUAACGGCUUACCAAGGCAACGAUGCGUAGCCGACCUGAGAGGAUGAUCGGCCACACUGGAACUGAGACACGGUCCAGACUCCUACGGGAGGCAGCAGUGGGGAAUCUUCGGCAAUGGGCGAAAGCCUGACCGAGCCACGCCGCGUGAGUGAUGAAGGUCUUCGGAUUGUAAAGCCCUGUUAUUGGGGAAGAAAAAAUGCGGAAUUAAACAUGCCUGCUCUGACGGUACCCAAACAGAAAGCACCGGCUAACUUCGUG
rnacentral:rRNA from 1 species